rnacentral:rRNA from 1 species
AGAUUGAACGCUGGCGGCAUGCCUUACACAUGCAAGUCGAACGGCAGCACGGGAGCAAUCCUGGUGGCGAGUGGCGAACGGGUGAGUAAUACAUCGGAACGUGCCCAGUAGUGGGGGAUAACCCGGCGAAAGCCGGACUAAUACCGCAUACGACCUACGGGUGAAAGCAGGGGAUCGCAAGACCUUGCGCUAUCGGAGCGGCCGAUGUCAGAUUAGCUUGUUGGCGGGUAAAAGCCCACCAAGGCGACGAUCUGUAGCUGGUCUGAGAGGACGACCAGCCACACUGGGACUGAGACACGGCCCAGACUCCUACGGGAGGCAGCAGUGGGGAAUUUUCCGCAAUGGACGCAAGUCCGACGGAGCAACGCCGCGUGCAGGAUGACGGCCUUCGGGUUGUAAACUGCUUUCUGUGAGACGAGAACGGACGGUAUCGACAGGAAUCAGCCCCGGCUAACUACGUGCCAGCAGCCGC